GCAGGGCAGGAAAAUCACAAGAGGGAAAUGCAACAGUGAGGGCAGGGUAGGCAACCAAACUGACACCCAGAGUUUGGGGCAGGGCAGGCGAGGUAGCAAACACUGAAGAGCCAAAGCGGGGCACGUAACUUUACAAAGGUUGGAGGGCUGGGGCGGGACAGGCAAAUUUAACAAAAGCGGAGUCCGAGCAGGCAAACCAACAGAAAAGAAGGCUCCCCAAGGGGCAGGCUGCAAGAGGGAAGGGGAAACAACUGCAGGGAGGCUGGGGGCCCCAGCCAAAUGCAGCUGGGGCAGGGAGGGUAAGUCCAAGGAGGGGGAGGAUAAGUCCAAGCAGUGAUGGUAGGGGGGAGCAGAUGGGGGAGGGCUCCAUGCCCCUCCCCCUUGCUCCCCACAACAGCAGCAGGAGUGACCACCACCCCAGGAGCCAAGAUGUUAAAAAGUCACUCAGUCCAUGAACAAACCACCUCCACAAUGUCCCACAGCAGGAGCCCUUUUCUUCCUUCUCUUCAGCAGCAGGCUCCAACACAGCAGCAGCAACCAGCGGCCAGCCAGGAAUGGUAGUGGUGGAGUCAGGUGCUCCUCUCCGGAGGGUUUCCAAUAAGGCAGGGUCCCCUGCACAGCAGCAGCAGCCAGGGGGAGAGCUCCAGACAGACAGAAUGACCAGCAGCUGGAGUAGGAUGGAGAGGGGCUCCCACUGCCCAGAGGGAAGGAACCCCUCACUGAGCCCUGGUGGGCGAAGCCAGGACAUGCUCACCCCUCCUGCCGAAAGUCAGUGGGUGGGACAGGAAGUAUAAAAGGCAGGCCUGACGCUCAGUUGAGCUGCAGCCACCAGAGGAGUCAGAUGCCCCCUGCUUGAUCCCAAGCUGGGAGACUGCUGCUGGCUGCCCCAGGGAGUUGAGGACCAGACAGAGGUGCUACCAGCCCUACCACAGGCCUUCUACUUGGAUGAUCUAAACAACCCUCUACAGACACAGGCCCUUCUCCACUGCCUCGUGAGCAGCAGUCUCCGAUGCCAGAAAGAUGAUCUUCCCAUACAUCUUGGAGGCCACCGCUGCCAUGGGCCCCACCACCUGUGCCAAUGCCCCCAUGUAGGUCUCCACAUGGGGUGAGGUGGGCACCACGAGCAACAGGAGUUACCACCACCACCCCAGGAGCGAAGAUGCUAGAAGUCGCUCAGUUCCAGAACAAACCCCCUCCACAAUGUACUGCAGCAGGAGUCGUCCUCCACAAGAGCAGCAAACUCUGAGCAAGAGUCCAAAAGGACUGAUUGUCUUGGAAAAUAUAGAAGAUACACUGGGACUGAAGUUCAAAUUAGUACAACCUGGGAAAAACCCCUGGCUUUCUCAUGAGCGAUCCUUGGCUGUUGUCUUAAAAUUACUGCAACCAUUAUUAUUAGCUUUGGAAACUAUCUACUGAGAUGGGACGGAUUUAAGUAAUGAGGCUGGUGGACUACUUUUGCUACUAAGUUCAAAGAAGACAAUCACCAUUCUUUUUUUUAAACCCACGAAAGCUUAUGCCCAAAUAAAUCUGUUAGCCUUUAAGGUGCCACCGGACUCCUAGUCUGUAUCCACAAAAACAACUAACAGGGCUACCCCUCUGAUACUUGACAUUCUCUCUCAUAAGUCUACCGUUGAAACUACUUGGGUCAUUUAAAUAACGCCAUGCAGGCAUCUGCUACAACAGUAGUAGAUCUAUGUCCAGCAAUGGAAACUACACUUAGAUCAGAGAGAGAUCCAUUGAAAAUGUACUAGAAGCAGCAAAGACUUCAGUUCAGAAGUUGACUAAUGAGGGCACUUACAUUGACUCCUUAAAUGAAGAGGACAAAAAGUGUUAAGCCAGCUGAAAAAGUAAAGUACACAGACUUAAUUCUUACAGCUCUACAAAACCAAUUUCUGGAUUCUAUCAACCUCUACAUAGCUUUUACAAAUGCCUGUCUUAUAAAACACAGACAGUUGCGUGGAGUGAGGCACUACCACCAAUGGGGCUACCAUGUGAUCAGGGCAGAAUAGAGAAUUUGAACACAGAGUGGAAUGUCAUACGAUGAACAAAGGAAGAUUUGACUUCAACUUCUUCUUCUUUAUCAUCACGAGUGGUUUGACCCAAUUUUUAUGCUAUGUUUCCUGAGAUGAAAGAAGUAGGAACUCCUCUCUUUCUAAUCCUAGUCAUAACAGCUACAGGUGAGCGUUCUUUUUCCUCAUUCAGUAGAAUUGUGUGUUCUGUGUGAUCAUGAGCAUAGCAGGAAGGACUGGACACAGGAGAAACCACCACCAAUGAAUGCACUGCAUUAGAGAAGUUCAUUAACAGAGUUGUGCAAAAUUACAAGAAGAAAGCAAGAAGGCUGUACAUAUAGUGCUUCAUAGUAGGCUUGUAUAGCUAACUUUAAUUUGUGUGAUGAUUUAAAAACAUGAGUUAAAUCUAAUAAAAUGGCU